GAACAAAUAUGAACAAAGGGCAUAGCAGGGUUAGCAUGUAAAAAGUGCCCCCAAAGGAACUAAAGCAUAUGAUACAUCAUUCGAAAGGUCUUGGCCUAGAACUACUUUUAGUGUAGUAUCAAACUCCAUAAUGGAGUUAUAGAGGAAAUUUUUCUCUGAAUUUUUUCACCCUUAAAUAGGGGUCCAAAAAAUCUGA